rnacentral:rRNA from 1 species
CCCUUAGAUGUUCUGGGCAGCACGCGCACUACAAUGGUCUUCGCAAACGGAUGCAUUCUCGAAGGAGAAUGCCAAUCUUGGAAUCUAUGCCUUGGUCGGGACAGUUGCUUGCAAUUUUUCGACUCGAACCAGGAAUUCCUUGUAAUCGUGAUUCAUCACAUCACGAUGAAUACGUCCCUGCCCUUUGUACACACCGCCCGUCACUCCUACCGAUCGAAGAGUUAGGUGAAUUGUUUUGAUCGAUAAGAUUUGACUAUGGUCAACUCUCGUUGUGAAAUUCUGUGAAUCUGACUGUUUAGAGGAAGGAAAAGUCGUAACA